rnacentral:tRNA from 2 species
CGGGCCGAAGAGGAACGGUUUUCAUUCUUAAUGAGGUGGUCGCGGGUUCGAGUCCCGCCGGGUCGA